UACGUAGGGUGCGAGCGUUAAUCGGAAUUACUGGGCGUAAAGCGUGCGCAGGCGGUUCGUUGUGUCGGCGGUGAAAGCCCGGCUCAACCUGGGAAUGGCCGUUGAAACUGGCGAACUGGAGUGUGGCAGAGGGGGUGGAAUUCCGCGUGUAGCAGUGAAAUGCGUAGAGAUGCGGAGGAACACCGAUGGCGAAGCAGCCCCUGGGCUAACACUGACGCUCAGGCACGAAAGCGUGGGGAGCAACAGG
rnacentral:rRNA from 1 species